rnacentral:rRNA from 1 species
UGGGGAAUUUUGGACAAUGGGCGAAAGCCUGAUCCAGCAAUGCCGCGUGUGUGAAGAAGGCCUUCGGGUUGCAAAGCACUUUUUGNCCGGAAAGAAAUCCUUGGCUCUAAUACAGUCGGGGGAUGACGGUACCGGAAGAAUAAGCACCGGCUAACUACGUGCCAGCAGCCGCGGUAAUACGUAGGGUGCAAGCGUUAAUCGGAAUUACUGGGCGUAAAGCGUGCGCAGGCGGUUUGCUAAGACCGAUGUGAAAUCCCCCGGGNUCAACCUGGGGAACUGCAUUGGUGACUGGCAGGCUAGAGUAUGGCAGAGGGGGGUAGAAUUCCACGUGUAGCAGUGAAAUGCGUAGAGAUGUGGAGGAAUACCGAUGGCGAAGGCAGCCCCCUGGGCCAAUACUGACGCUCAUGCACGAAAGCGUGGGGAGCAAACAGGAUUAGAUACCCUGGUAGUCCACGCCCUAAACGAUGUCAACUAGUUGUUGGGGAUUCAUUUCCUUAGUAACGUAGCUAACGCGUGAAGUUGACCGCCUGGGGAGUACGGUCGCAAGAUUAAAACUUAAAGGAAUUGAC